UACGUAGGGUGCAAGCGUUUGUCCGGAAUUAUUGGGCGUAAAGAGCUCGUAGGCGGUUUGUCGCGUCUGCUGUGAAAACGCGAGGCUCAACCUCGCGCCUGCAGUGGGUACGGGCAGACUAGAGUGCGGUAGGGGAGAUUGGAAUUCCUGGUGUAGCGGUGGAAUGCGCAGAUAUCAGGAGGAACACCGAUGGCGAAGGCAGAUCUCUGGGCCGUAACUGACGCUGAGGAGCGAAAGACGUGGGGAGCGAACAGG
rnacentral:rRNA from 1 species